GAUGAACGCUGGCGGCGUGCCUAAUACAUGCAAGUCGAGCGAACAGAUGAGGAGCUUGCUCCUCUGACGUUAGCGGCUGACGGGUGAGUAACACGUGGAUAACCUACCUAUAAGACUGGGAUAACUUCGGGAAACCGGAGCUAAUACCGGAUAAUAUAUUGAACCGCAUGGUUCAAUAGUGAAAGACGGUUUUGCUGUCACUUAUAGAUGGAUCCGCGCCGCAUUAGCUAGUUGGUAAGGUAACGGCUUACCAAGGCAACGAUGCGUAGCCGACCUGAGAGGGUGAUCGGCCACACUGGAACUGAGACACGGUCCAGACUCCUACGGGAGGCAGCAGUAGGGAAUCUUCCGCAAUGGGCGAAAGCUUGACGGAGCAACGCCGCGUGAGUGAUGAAGGUCUUCGGAUCGUAAAACUCUGUUAUUAGGGAAGAACAAAUGUGUAAGUAACUAUGCACGUCUUGACGGUACCUAAUCAGAAAGCCACGGCUAACUACGUG
rnacentral:rRNA from 1 species